rnacentral:rRNA from 1 species
AUUGAACGCUGGCGGAAUGCUUUACACAUGCAAGUCGAACGGUAGAGGGGGCAACCCCUUGAGAGUGGCGAACGGGUGAGUAAUAUAUCGGAACGUGCCCAGUCGUGGGGAUAACGUAGCGAAAGUUACGCUAAUACCGCAUACGAUCUAAGGAUGAAAGCGGGGGAUCGCAAGACCUCGCGCGAUUGGAGCGGCCGAUAUCAGAUUAGGUAGUUGGUGAGGUAAAGGCUCACCAAGCCAACGAUCUGUAGCUGGUCUGAGAGGACGACCAGCCACACUGGAACUGAGACACGGUCCAGACUCCUACGGGAGGCAGCAGUGGGGAAUUUUUGGACAAUGGACGCAAGUCUGAUCCAGCCAUUCCGCGUGCAGGAUGAAGGCCCUCGGGUUGUAAACUGCUUUUGUACGGAACGAAAAGGUUUCUAUUAAUACUAGGAGCUCAUGACGGUACCGUAAGAAUAAGCACCGGCUAAACUACGUGCCAGCAGCCG